CUAGUUAAGCGUGCUUGGGCGAGAGUAGUACUAGGAUGGGUGACCUCCUGGGAAGUCCUCGUGUUGCACCCC
rnacentral:rRNA from 1 species